UCUGGAUCUUUAGUGAACUUUGUGUGAUGACAAAACAAACUUCUUUAUGAUAUGCAGCUGAGACAUGGGGGUUGUUUGUUACCUCACUAUAACUGAAGUUAUCCUGACUAAUGGAAGUUAAUAGCAUAGAAACACAUCUGGAUGGAAUGGAUCCAGAGGGAAACCAACCAGAGAAAGGGAUCCUUAGAGCAUUGUUUCCAGUAUUUUGGACACACAUUCACAAUAAGAAAGGUGGGAGCUUGACACCUGCAUAAAACCUAAGAAUUUGGUCUAUGGGUACUGCCAUGACUAAUGAAGCAACUCCUGAUUCCACAAGAUACCCAAUUCGGAAAAAAAGUCUCAGCAGGCCAGGAAAAACAGUUAGAGGCGAGGGCAAAUGAUCUUUAAGAGCAGUUAGCAGUAUAGGAGAGAGUAAAGGGAUAGAAGAGGAAGUCAUUCCUAAGAUUAAGUCAAUCCACUUCCCUUACCAUGCAUUUUGGCCAGCACUGUCAGAAGCCAUGGAAAGAGGAUAAACCGUGAAAAAUGCUCAACUCCACAAUACUAAAAAAAAGCAUGGAAU